CGGAAGAGAAAGAGAGAGAGAGGACACAGGGAAACUUACAGCAAAAGUUUCGAUGUUUAUAGCUUUCUUGGGGAAGAAAACACAUGCACAGAUCCUGGUGUUAGGAAUAUUUUAAGCAUGUAUCUUCAAUAUUAUUCAUCCAGGACCGAAGUAAGUCCUGAUGCAGGAAAUGAGUGACUUUCACAGCUUUCUGAGCCCCUACUCAACCCAGGAAGUCCAGCUGGCACCUCCUCUGGAUCACAAGCUUAACUGAGAAACUUUCUUCUACUUUAUAACAAG
rnacentral:lncRNA from 1 species